rnacentral:rRNA from 1 species
GGGGGUACUCGAGCGGCGAACGGGUGAGUAACACGUGAGUAAUCUGCCCUUGGCUUCGGGAUAGCCACCGGAAACGGUGAUUAAUACCGGAUACGACACAUCACUGCAUGGUGCGUGUGUGGAAAGUUUUUUCGGCCAGGGAUGUGCUCGCGGCCUAUCAGCUUGUUGGUGGGGUAAUGGCCUACCAAGGCUUCGACGGGUAGCCGGCCUGAGAGGGUGACCGGCCACACUGGGACUGAGACACGGCCCAGACUCCUACGGGAGGCAGCAGUGGGGAAUAUUGGACAAUGGGCGGAAGCCUGAUCCAGCAACGCCGCGUGAGGGAUGACGGCCUUCGGGUUGUAAACCUCUUUCAGCACAGACGAAGCGCAAGUGACGGUAUGUGCAGAAGAAGGACCGGCCAACUACGUGCCAGCAGCCGCGGUAAUACGUAGGGUCCGAGCGUUGUCCGGAAUUAUUGGGCGUAAAGGGCUCGUAGGCGGUUUGUCGCGUCGGGAGUGAAAACACCGGGCUUAACUCGGUGCUUGCUUUCGAUACGGGCAGACUAGAGGCAUUCAGGGGAGAACGGAAUUCCUGGUGUAGCGGUGAAAUGCGCAGAUAUCAGGAGGAACACCGGUGGCGAAG